GAGCGGAAAGGCCCUUCGGGGUACUCGAGCGGCGAACGGGUGAGUAACACGUGAGCAAUCUGCCCUUAGCUUCGGGAUAGCUCCGGGAAACCGGAAUUAAUACCGGAUAUGACUACGGCCGACAUCAGCCGUGGUGGAAAGAUUUAUCGGCUAGGGAUGAGCUCGCGGCCUAUCAGCUUGUUGGUGGGGUAACGGCCUACCAAGGCGACGACGGGUAGCCGGCCUGAGAGGGCGACCGGCCACACUGGGACUGAGACACGGCCCAGACUCCUACGGGAGGCAGCAGUGGGGAAUAUUGCGCAAUGGGCGAAAGCCUGACGCAGCGACGCCGCGUGCGGGAUGAAGGCCUUCGGGUUGUAAACCGCUUUCAGCAGGGACGAAGCGAAAGUGACGGUACCUGCAGAAGAAGCGCCGGCUAACUACGUGCCAGCAGCCGCGGUAAU
rnacentral:rRNA from 1 species